rnacentral:rRNA from 1 species
CACGUAGGGUGCGAGCGUUGUCCGGAAUUACUGGGCGUAAAGAGCUCGUAGGUGGUUUGUCGCGUUGUCCGUGAAAACUCACAACUCAAUUGUGGGCGUGCGGGCGAUACGGGCAGGCUAGAGUGUGGUAGGGGAGAUCGGAAUUCCUGGUGUAGCGGUGAAAUGCGCAGAUAUCAGGAGGAACACCGGUGGUGUAGACGGCUUUCUGGACCGUAACUGACGCUGAGACACGAAAGCGUGGGUAGCAAACAGG